rnacentral:rRNA from 1 species
GUACACUCCUGCGGGAGGCAGCAGUGGGGAAUUUUGGACAAUGGGCGAAAGCCUGAUCCAGCAAUGCCGCGUGGGUGAAGAAGGCCUUCGGGUUGUAAAGCUCUUUUGUCAGGGAAGAAACGGUGAAAGCUAAUAUCUUUUGCUAAUGACGGUACCUGAAGAAUAAGCACCGGCUAACUACGUGCCAGCAGCCGCGGUAAUACGUAGGGUGCAAGCGUUAAUCGGAAUUACUGGGCGUAAAGCGUGCGCAGGCGGUUUUGUAAGUCUGAUGUGAAAUCCCCGGGCUCAACCUGGGAAUUGCAUUGGAGACUGCAAGGCUAGAAUCUGGCAGAGGGGGGUAGAAUUCCACGUGUAGCAGUGAAAUGCGUAGAUAUGUGGAGGAACACCGAUGGCGAAGGCAGCCCCCUGGGUCAAGAUUGACGCUCAUGCACGAAAGCGUGGGGAGCAAACAGGAUUAGAAACCCUAGUAGGCCCAUG